CCUGAGAAACCCAAAAGAUCGAAUGGGGAGAUUCAGCGUCAGCGGUGCUGGUACGUGUGUGGUUCGCGAUGUUGCGAUGACUUCGGUCUUGCGGCACGCUGCCUUUUUCAUGAGAUUGGUAUCGUCGGCGUGCACUUCUCCCCUAGUAGGACGUCGCGACCCGUUGGGUGUCGGUCUACGGCCCGAGUGGGCGCCUGUCUCGUGUGGCGCUUUACGGUGUCACUGCGGGGCAGACCCUCGGUUGCCUGACCGGCUGCCCGGCGGUACUCGCAAGGUAUCUGGCCGCAAAUAUUCGAACUGCGUCCAGCCCGUCGCAAGCGAGGCAAGUGUUUCCCGAAUGUACGGAUCUAAUGCCGUCAUCGGGCCUGGCCAGCUGUUGGUUGACGGUGUCCUAGGACAGGCUAUAACAAUUAUGAUACCGGUCAGCGACGCUACUGCUUUGGUACUUUC
rnacentral:rRNA from 1 species